UACGUAGGGGGCUAGCGGUGUCCGGAUUUAUUGGGCGUAAAGAGCGUGUAGGCGGCCAGGUAGGUCUGGUGUGAAAACUCGAGGCUUAACCUCGAGAUGUCAUCGGAAACCAUUUGGCUAGAGUCCGGAAGAGGAAAGUGGAAUUCCUGGUGUAGCGGUGAAAUGCGCAGAUAUCAGGAAGAACACCGACGGCGAAGGCAGCUCGCUGGGACGGUACUGACGCUGAGGCACGAAAGCGUGGGGAGCAAACAGG
rnacentral:rRNA from 1 species